CUCGCCCAACCGCCGAAAGCGGGAAGAAAACGCCGACAGAAGAAAGGGCGGAGUCAAAGAGGACAUGUGACCAAGUGAGGAAUCUAACGUGAAUAACCAUCGGGUCAUCCUUGGAGCGGUGGAGAAAACAGACGCUGAGACAGCAGAGUUUUAGUUGAACAGGUCAUUUUUAUCUCCUUUUAUCGUGGCUCAUGUUACAUAAAUAACUCUGAUUAGUCUCUGACAUGUCAACACGGUAGCUGUCCAGGCAGCUGCAGACGGCGCUCGCUAGCAGAGCUGGCGUUUACUGACACUAGUCACUAACAAUCCGACAUGGUGAAUCCUAUUUGAAGCUAGCGUAGGAUCUUCUGCCAGAGGGGGUGUGUCGUGAGGAGGGCGAUACAGAAUCAGGGGGCGGAG